UUUGAACGCACCUUGCGCUCCUUGGUAUUCCGAGGAGCAUGCCUGUUUGAGUGUUAUGUUAUUCUCAAUCCCUUUGGUUUUUAGAAAUAAGACCACUGGGGUUGGUUUUGGAGGCUUAUGCUGGCUUCACAGUCGGCUCCUCUUGAAAGCAUUAGCUGGGCUUUUGCUCGAUGCAAUAGUGAAGCGGGAAAAGCUCAAAUUUAAAAUCUGGCGGUUUUGUCGCCCGAGUUGUAAUCUGGAGAAGCGUUUUCCGUGCCGGACCGUGUACAAGUCUCUUGGAACAGAGCGUCAUAGAGGGUGAGAAUCCCGUCCAUGACACGGACUCCCGGUGCUUUGUGAUACGCUCUCGAAGAGUCGAGUUGUUUGGGAAUGCAGCUCAAAAUGGGUGGUAAGCUCCAUCUAAAGCUAAAUAUUGGCGAGAGACCGAUAGCGAACAAGUACCGUGAGGGAAAGAUGAAAAGCACUUUGGAAAGAGAGUUAAACAGUACGUGAAAUUGUUGAAAGGGAAACGCUUGAAGUCAGUCGCGUCUUACUUGACUCAGCCUUGCUUUCGGCUUGGUGUAUUUCAAGUAGGAUGGGUCAACAUCGAUUUUGACCGGUGGACAAGGGGUGAAGGAAUGUGGCACUCUUCGGAGUGUGUUAUAGCCUUUUCUCAUAUACAUCGGUUGGGAUUGAGGCCCGCAGCGCGCCCUUGUGGCCGGAGGUUCGCCUCACGUAACGCGCUUAGGAUGUUGGCAUAAUGGCUUUAAGCGACCCGUCUUGAAACACGGACCAAGGAGUCUAACAUGCUCGCGAGUGUUAGGGUGGAAAACCCUUGCGCGUAAUGAAAGUGAAAGUUGAGACCCUCCGCAAGGGGGUGCAUCGACGCCCGGCCCUGAAGUUUACUGACGGUGCUGCGGUAGAGCGCGUAUGUUGGGACCCGAAAGAUGGUGAACUAUGCCUGAAUAGGGCGAAGCCAGAGGAAACUCUG
rnacentral:rRNA from 1 species